rnacentral:rRNA from 1 species
UAGGGAAUCUUCCGCAAUGGACGAAAGUCUGACGGAGCAACGCCGCGUGAGUGAUGAAGGUUUUCGGAUCGUAAAACUCUGUUGUUAGGGAAGAACAAGUUGGGUAGUAACUGACCCAACCUUGACGGUACCUAACCAGAAAGCCACGGCUAACUACGUGCCAGCAGCCGCGGUAAUACGUAGGUGGCAAGCGUUGUCCGGAAUUAUUGGGCGUAAAGCGCUCGCAGGCGGUCUUUUAAGUCUGAUGGGAAAGCCCACGGCUUAACCGGGGAGGGUCAUUGGAAACUGGAGGACUUGAGUACAGAAGAGGAGAGUGGAAUUCCACGUGUAGCGGUGAAAUGCGUAGAGAUGUGGAGGAACACCAGUGGCGAAGGCGACUCUCUGGUCUGUAACUGACGCUGAGGAGCGAAAGCGUGGGUAGCGAACAGG